rnacentral:rRNA from 1 species
CUACGGGUCGCAGCAGUGAGGAAUAUUGGUCAAUGGGCGCAAGCCUGAACCAGCCAUCCCGCGUGGAGGAAGACGGCCCUAUGGGUUGUAAACUCCUUUUAUAAGGGAAGAAUAUACGUAUCGUGAUAUGUUUUGACGGUACCUUAUGAAUAAGCAUCGGCUAACUCCGUGCCAGCAGCCGCGGUAAUACGGAGGAUGCAAGCGUUAUCCGGAUUCAUUGGGUUUAAAGGGUGCGCAGGCGGACCAAUAAGUCAGUGGUGAAAUCUUACGGCUCAACCGUGAAACUGCCAUUGAUACUGUUAGUCUUGAGUACGGCUGAGGUAGGCGGAAUGUGUGAUGUAGCGGUGAAAUGCUUAGAUAUUACACAGAACACCAAUUGCGUAGGCAGCUUACUAGACCGUAACUGACGCUGAGGCACGAAAGCGUGGGUAGCGAACAGGAUUAGAUACCCGGGUAGUC